UAAUUGAAUAGUCCGUUCGAUGAUACUGGUUCUAGGUCAUUCUGUUUUAUUAAUAGUUUGCACAUAUUUAUCUGAUAAAACUUGUCGAUUCCUGGAUGAAGGAACGGUUUUUCUACCUGAGGACUCUGUUACGCGGAGCGUUAUUCUUCGCCGAGAUGCUCGACCCAUUUUCCACAGGAUUGAACACGUCGUACGACAAACGUGAUGCUCGAUCAAGACGCGGAAGGACCGGAGAAGAGCAGGAAUUUGACGGAGUGUAUUAGGACGGUAAACGAGGGAGAAAGGUUCCAUGGGGAAUCGUGCACGCGCGACCGACCGAACCGUACGGUAAGGGAGAGAAGGCCCUUUUCAACGUCGUCUAAUCGUCGCCUGGCCCAGAUUUCUGUCCACGGACGACUUGCAA